CCCCGGGGAAACUAGCAUAUCAAUAAGCGGAGGAAAAGAAACCAACAGGGAUUGCCUUAGUAACGGCGAGUGAAGCGGCAAUAGCUCAAAUUUGAAAGCUGGCCCCUUCGGGGUCCGCGUUGUAAUUUGUAGAGGAUGAUUCGGCGAGGGCUCCCGUCUAAGUCCCUUGGAACAGGGCGUCAUAGAGGGUGAGAAUCCCGUAUGUGAUGGGCUGCCUUAGCCAUGUGAAUCUCCUUCGACGAGUCGAGUUGUUUGGGAAUGCAGCUCUAAAUGGGAGGUAAAUUUCUUCUAAAGCUAAAUACCGGCCAGAGACCGAUAGCGCACAAGUAGAGUGAUCGAAAGAUGAAAAGCACUUUGGAAAGAGAGUUAAAAAGUACGUGAAAUUGUUGAAAGGGAAGCGCUUGCAGCCAGACUUGUCCGCAGUUGCUCAGCUUGUCUCCUGACAGGCGUACUCUUCUGCGGCCAGGCCAGCAUCAGUUCGGGCGGUCGGAUAAAGACCUGGGGAAUGUAGCUCCUCUCGGGGAGUGUUAUAGCCCUGGGUGCAAUGCGGCCAGCCUGGACUGAGGAUCUCGCUUCGGCUAGGAUGCUGGCGUAAUGGCUGUAAGCGGCCCGUCUUGAAACACGGACCAAGGAGUCUAACAUCUAUGCGAGUGUUUGGGUGUCAAACCCAUGCGCGUAAUGAAAGUGAACGGAGGUGGGAACCCUCACGGGUGCACCAUCGACCGAUCCUGAUGUCUUCGGAUGGAUUUGAGUAAGAGCAUAGCUGUUGGGACCCGAAAGAUGGUGAACUAUGCCUGAAUAGGGUGAAGCCAGAGGAAACUCUGGUGGAGGCUCGCAGCGGUUCUGACGUGCAAAUCGAUCGUCAAAUUUGGGUAUAGGGGCGAAAGACUAAUCGAACCAUCUAGUAGCUGGUUCCUGCCGAAGUUUCCCUCAGGA
rnacentral:rRNA from 1 species